GAUAAACGCUGGCGGCGUGCAUGAGACAUGCAAGUCGAACGAACGACCCGGGCUUGCCUGGGAAGUUAGUGGCGAACGGCUGAGUAACGCGUGGGUGACCUGCCCGGAAGUGGGGAAUAACUGCCCGAAAGGGUGGCUAAUACCGCAUGCGGCCACACGUUCGCUCGUGUGACCAAAGCCGCAAGGCGCUUCCGGAGGGGCCUGCGUUCGAUUAGCUCGUUGGUGGGGUAACGGCUCACCAAGGCGACGAUCGAUAGGUGGUCUGAGAGGAUGAUCACCCAGACUGGGACUGAGACACGGCCCAGACACCUACGGGUGGCUG
rnacentral:rRNA from 1 species